CCCUAGUAACUGCGAGUGAAGCGGGAAAGCUCAAAUUUAAAAUCUGGCAGUUUUUGGCUGUCCGAGUUGUAGUCUGGAGAAGCGUUUUCCGCGCUGGACCGUGUACAAGUCUCUUGGAACAGAGCGUCAUAGAGGGUGAGAAUCCCGUCUUUGACACGGACUACCAGUGCUUUGUGAUGCGCUCUCAAAGAGUCGAGUUGUUUGGGAAUGCAGCUCAAAAUGGGUGGUAAAUUCCAUCUAAAGCUAAAUAUUGGCGAGAGACCGAUAGCGAACAAGUACCGUGAGGGAAAGAUGAAAAGCACUUUGGAAAGAGAGUUAAACAGUACGUGAAAUUGCUGAAAGGGAAACGCUUGAAGUCAGUCGCGUUGUCUAGAACUCAACCUGGCUUUGCUUGGUGCAUUUUCUAGUUGACGGGCCAACAUCAGUUUUGACUACUGGAAAAAAGCCUUUGGAAUGUGGCACCUCCGGGUGUGUUAUAGCCUUGGGUUGUAUACAGUGGCUGGGACUGAGGACCGCAGCACGCCUUAUGGCCGGGGUUCGCCCACGUACGUGCUUAGGAUGUUGGCGUAAUGGCUUUAAGCGACCCGUCUUGAAACACGGACCAAGGAGUCUAACAUGCCUGCGAGUGUUUGGGUGGAAAACCCGAGCGCGUAAUGAAAGUGAAAGUUGGGAUCCCUGUCGUGGGGAGCACCGACGCCCAUACCAGACCUUCUGUGACGGAUAUGCGGUUGAGCAUGUAUGUUGGGACCCGAAAGAUGGUGAACUAUGCCUGAAUAGGGUGAAGCCAGAGGAAACUCUGGUGGAAGCUCGUAGCGAUUCUGACGUGCAAAUCGAUCGUCAAAUUUG
rnacentral:rRNA from 1 species